UGGGGAAUUUUGGACAAUGGGCGAAAGCCUGAUCCAGCAAUGCCGCGUGUGUGAAGAAGGCCUUCGGGUUGUAAAGCACUUUUGUCCGGAAAGAAAUCCUUGGCUCUAAUACAGUCGGGGGAUGACGGUACCGGAAGAAUAAGCACCGGCUAACUACGUGCCAGCAGCCGCGGUAAUACGUAGGGUGCAAGCGUUAAUCGGAAUUACUGGGCGUAAAGCGUGCGCAGGCGGUUUGCUAAGACCGAUGUGAAAUCCCCGGGCUCAACCUGGGAACUGCAUUGGUGACUGGCAGGCUAGAGUAUGGCAGAGGGGGGUAGAAUUCCACGUGUAGCAGUGAAAUGCGUAGAGAUGUGGAGGAAUACCGAUGGCGAAGGCAGCCCCCUGGG
rnacentral:rRNA from 1 species